AAUGUCCAGAGCCUACAAUGAACUUGAAAGAAAACACAGCAUUGAUCCUUGUAUUGAUUCCCCCCUUCUCAAGUAUCUUCUUACCCACAUUGCUCCAGUGGAUAGAGAUGUAUUCUGGAAAGACCCAGACUUUGAACAUUUUUUUCUCCAUCUCUCUCUUGCCUCAUCUCUAUCUCCCCAUCUAAUAUAUCUGUAUCAAGCUUUGCAUUUGGCAGAAGGCACACCAUUCAUUUCAGUGAUCUCUGCCAUUGGAUCUUGCAUGAAAAAGAAGCUGAGCAACAUGAUCCCUUUGACCCACUGCUGGAGCAACAAAUUUAUUAGAGAUAUAGGCAUGAGAAAUGAAAGGGAAGUAAAACAAUUCCAGCUUA
rnacentral:lncRNA from 1 species